UCAUUCGGGUGAUGGUUUGGUUA
rnacentral:siRNA from 1 species